AUUGAACGCUGGCGGAAUGCUUUACACAUGCAAGUCGAGCGGCAGCGCGGGGCAACCUGGCGGCGAGCGGCGAACGGGUGAGUAAUGCAUCGGAACGUACCCAAUUGUGGGGGAUAACAAUCCGAAAGGAUAGCUAAUACCGCAUAAGUCCUGAGGGAGAAAGCGGGGGAUCGCAAGACCUCGCGCGAUUGGAGCGGCCGAUGCCGGAUUAGCUAGUUGGUAGGGUAAAGGCCUACCAAGGCGACGAUCCGUAGCUGGUCUGAGAGGAUGAUCAGCCACACUGGAACUGAGACACGGUCCAGACUCCUACGGGAGGCAGCAGUGGGGAAUUUUGGACAAUGGGGGCAACCCUGAUCCAGCCAUUCCGCGUGAGUGAAGAAGGCCUUCGGGUUGUAAAGCUCUUUCGGCAGGAACGAAACGGUUUGGGUUAAUACCCUGAGCUAAUGACGGUACCUGAAGAAGAAGCACCGGCUAACUACGUGCCAGCCGCCGCAGUAA
rnacentral:rRNA from 1 species